GGUCUGGCCUGCCCAAUGAUAGAUUGAAUGGCCGCGGUACAUHGACCGUGCAAAGGUAGCAUAAUCAUUAGUUUUUUAAUUGAAAGCUUGUAUGAAAGGUUUGAUGAGAAAUUUUCUGUCUCUGUAAAAAUUUAUUAGAAUUUUAUUUUUAAGUUAAAAAGCUUAAAUACCCGUAGAAGACGAGAAGACCCUAUAGAGUUUUAUAUAAAAAAUUUUAAAUGGAUUUUAAAGAUGAAAAAAAUUAAUUUCAAUUUUUUGUAUUUUGUUGGGGUGAUAGAAAAAUUAAUAAAACUUUUUUUUACAUAGAAACAUUAAUUUAUGAUUUAUUGAUCCUGAAUUUUCAGAUUAAAAGAUUAAAUUACCUUAGGGAUAACAGCGUAAUUUUUUUAAGAGUUCUUAUCGAAAAAGAARAUUGCGACCUCGAUGUUGGAUUAAAAUAAAUAGUUGGUGAAGAAGCUAAAGAAAUUAGGUCUGUUCGACCUUUAAAAUUUUACAUGAUCUGAGUUUAAACCGGUGUGAG
rnacentral:rRNA from 1 species